UUUGGCAAUGAUGACCCACUUGCCCUCACUGAGAACAGAGUUCAGUAAUGAGAAUCUUUAUUUAUUUUUUUAAAUGGAAUCACA
ensembl:snoRNA